GGGCCAUUAGCUCAGCUUGGUGAGAGCGCACGGCUGAUAACCGUGAGGUCCGCGGUUCGAAUCCGCGAUGGCCCACCA
rnacentral:tRNA from 1 species